rnacentral:rRNA from 1 species
AAAAAAUUUAAUUUUGGUUUUUUUAAUUGAUAAGAUUUUAAACAUUAAAAAAAUAUAUAAAUAUAAAAGUAUUUUGUUUUGAAAAUAAAAUUAGGGAAAAAUUUUUAAGAGUUUAGAUGUGGGUUUUAAAAAAUGAUUAGAAUAAAUCAGAUAAAGUAAAUUUUAUUUAGAAAAGUAAAUUAGAGUGCCAGCAGCUGCGGUUAUACUCAGUUUAAAAAAUUAAUUUUAAGAAAAAAUUUUAAAGAAUUUUUAAAAAAAUUUAAGGUAAUAUUAUUAUUUUUUUUAGUUCUUAUAUAAAUGUUUUAAAAGUUAUAGUUAAAAUUGUUGGUAAUAAUAAGUAUAAUAACUUAAAAAUUUUUUACUAUAAAAAAUAAAAAGAUUUGGCAGUAAAUUUAAAUAAUCUGGGGAAUGUGUUUAAUAAAGAGAAUUUACACUUACUAAUUUGUUAGUCUUAAUGGAAGGUUAGUGUACGGUUGUUUAAAAGAUUUUUUUAAGAAAAAAAAAUCUUAAAUGCAAAUCAUUGUGCUGCUUAUAGAUUAAAUAUUAAAUUCAUUACAUUAAAGUUUUUUAAACUGAAAAUCGAAAAACUAAGGACUAGACAGUAAAAAUUUAAAAAUAUGAAAUUUUGAAAAUAAAAAAAAAUUUGAGUACACAUUGCCCGUCAAUUUUCUUUGGAAGAUAAGUCGUAACAUGGUAAAUUUAGCUGAAGCUGAAUUUUUUUUU